rnacentral:tRNA from 2 species
GCCCCGAUAGCUCAGUAGGAUAGAGCGGCUGCCUCCUAAGCAGCAGGCCAUCGGUUCGAUUCCGGUUCGGGGUG